AAUCCAAUGGUGUAGUGGUUUGAAUAUUGGACUACAACUCUGAAAAACCAGGUCCAAAUCCUGGUUCGGUCA